GGGCCCGCACAAGCAGUGGAGCAUGUGGUUUAAUUCGAUGCAACGCGAAGAACCUUACCAGGCCUUGACAUCCAGAGAACUUUUCAGAGAUGGAUUGGUGCCUUCGGGAACUCUGAGACAGGUGCUGCAUGGCUGUCGUCAGCUCGUGUUGUGAAAUGUUGGGUUAAGUCCCGCAACGAGCGCAACCCUUAUCCUUGUUUGCCAGCGAGUAAUGUCGGGAACUCCAGGGAGACUGCCGGUGAUAAACCGGAGGAAGGUGGGGACGACGUCAAGUCAUCAUGGCCCUUACGAGUAGGGCUACACACGUGCUACAAUGGCGCAUACAGAGGGCAGCCAACUUGCGAGAGUGAGCGAAUCCCAAAAAGUGCGUCGUAGUCCGGAUCGGAGUCUGCAACUCGACUCCGUGAAGUCGGAAUCGCUAGUAAUCG
rnacentral:rRNA from 1 species